CCUUUCGGGUACUUUAGUGGCGAACGGGUGAGUAAUACAUAGGUAACCUACCCUUAAGACGAGGAUAGCCAUUGGAAACGAUGGAUAAAACUGGAUAGGAUAUAGAGGAAGAAUCUUUUAUAUUUAAAAGAGAGAUCUGCUUAAGGAGGGGCCUGUGGCGCAUUAGCUAGUUGGUGGGGUAAGGGCCUACCAAGGCGAUGACGCGUAGCCGGACUGAGAGGUUGAACGGCCACAAUGGAACUGAGAACGGUCCAUACUCCUACGGGAGGCAGCAG
rnacentral:rRNA from 1 species